GUGUCAGCAGCCGCGGUAAUACAGAGCGUGCAAGCGUUAAUCGGAAUUACUGGGCGUAAAGCGCGCGUAGGUGGUUUGUUAAGUUGGAUGUGAAAUCCCCGGGCUCAACCUGGGAACUGCAUUCAAAACUGACUGACUAGAGUGUGGUAGAGGGUGGUGGAAUUUCCUGUGUAGCGGUGAAAUGCGUAGAUAUAGGAAGGAACACCAGUGGCGAAGGCGACCACCUGGACCAACACUGACACUGAGGUGCGAAAGCGUGGGGAGCAAACAGG
rnacentral:rRNA from 1 species